AUUGAACGCUGGCGGCAUGCUUUACACAUGCAAGUCGAACGGCAGCACAGGGAGCUUGCUCCUGGGUGGCGAGUGGCGAACGGGUGAGUAAUGUAUCGGAACGUGCCUGGUAGUGGGGGAUAACUACUCGAAAGAGUGGCUAAUACCGCAUGAGAUCUUUGGAUAAAAGCGGGGGACCUUCGGGCCUCGUGCUACUGGAGCGGCCGAUAUCAGAUUAGGUUGUUGGUGGGGUAAAGGCCUACCAAGCCUGCGAUCUGUAGCUGGUCUGAGAGGACGACCAGCCACACUGGGACUGAGACACGGCCCAGACUCCUACGGGAGGCAGCAGUGGGGAAUUUUGGACAAUGGGCGCAAGCCUGAUCCAGCAAUGCCGCGUGCAGGACGAAGGCCUUCGGGUUGUAAACUGCUUUUGUACAGAACGAAAAGUCUCUGGCUAAUAUCUAGAGAUCAUGACGGUACUGUAAGAAUAAGCACCGGCUAACUACGUG
rnacentral:rRNA from 1 species